rnacentral:rRNA from 1 species
GAUGAACGCUGGCGGCGUGCCUAAUACAUGCAAGUCGAGCGAACAGACGAGGAGCUUGCUCCUCUGACGUUAGCGGCGGACGGGUGAGUAACACGUGGAUAACCUACCUAUAAGACUGGGAUAACUUCGGGAAACCGGAGCUAAUACCGGAUAAUAUAUUGAACCGCAUGGUUCAAUAGUGAAAGACGGUUUUGCUGUCACUUAUAGAUGGAUCCGCGCCGCAUUAGCUAGUUGGUAAGGUAACGGCUUACCAAGGCAACGAUGCGUAGCCGACCGGAGAGGUGAUCGGCCACACUGGAACUGAGACACGGUCCAGACUCCUACGGGAGGCAGCAGUAGGGAAUCUUCCGCAAUGGGCGAAAGCCUGACGGAGCAACGCCGCGUGAGUGAUGAAGGUCUUCGGAUCGUAAAACUCUGUUAUUAGGGAAGAACAAAUGUGUAAGUAACUAUGCACGUCUUGACGGUACCUAAUCAGAAAGCCACGGCUAACUACGUG